rnacentral:rRNA from 1 species
GACGAACGCUGGCGGCGUGCUUAACACAUGCAAGUCGAACGGAAAGGCCCUGCUUUUGUGGGGUGCUCGAGUGGCGAACGGGUGAGUAACACGUGAGUAACCUGCCCUUGACUUUGGGAUAACUUCAGGAAACUGGGGCUACUACCGGAUAGGAGCUCCCGCUGCAUGGUGGGGGUUGGAAAGUUUCGGCGGUUGGGGAUGGACUCGCGGCUUAUCAGCUUGUUGGUGGGGUAGUGGCUUACCAAGGCUUUGACGGGCAGCCGGCCUGAGAGGGUGACCGGCCACAUUGGGACUGAGAUACGGCCCAGACUCCUACGGGAGGCAGCAGUGGGGAAUAUUGCACAAUGGGCGGAAGCCUGAUGCAGCAACGCCGCGUGCGGGAUGACGGCCUUCGGGUUGUAAACCGCUUUCGCCUGUGACGAAGCGUGAGUGACGGUAAUGGGUAAAGAAGCACCGGCUAACUACGUG